rnacentral:lncRNA from 1 species
GCAAUCAUUGGCUAUUGAGUCUCUCUCUAAUAGAAACCCACUACAGUGGUCAUUGAAAACCAGUUUCUUUCUCACUCUAACUGCAUGCCAUCUGUUUAUCAGUUUCUCUCUAAACGAAAAACCAGCCUCUCUUUCUCUCUAAACACCAGUCCAUGAGAUCAUUGAAAACCAAUCUCCCUUUCUCUCUAAAAGGCAAACCAAUUUCUUUCUCACUCUAAUUGCAUGCCCACUUUUUCUCUCUCCCACCCUGAAAUUUCUGUAUCUCCCUAAAAAUCUCUGCAGUGAGCACCACUUUCCCAAAAUAUUUCUGUUUCGCUACCCUUUUUUGUUCUCCGUCUCUUUGUCUCUCUCAGACCUCUUUCUCUCCAUAGAACUCCCACUUUCUCUCUCUCUAGAAAGCUAUAUUUUUGGCCGAUCCACUUGGUUGGCUCUCUGGUCUCCGAACCUCGUUCUCUAUAAAU